rnacentral:rRNA from 1 species
CUACGUGCCAGCAGCCGCGGUAAUACGGAAGGUCCGGGCGUUAUCCGGAUUUAUUGGGUUUAAAGGGAGCGUAGGCUGGAGAUUAAGUGUGUUGUGAAAUGUAGACGCUCAACGUCUGACUUGCAGCGCAUACUGGUUUCCUUGAGUACGCACAACGUUGGCGGAAUUCGUCGUGUAGCGGUGAAAUGCUUAGAUAUGACGAAGAACUCCGAUUGCGAAGGCAGCUGACGGGAGCGCAACUGACGCUGAAGCUCGAAGGUGCGGGUAUCAAACAGGAUUAGAUACCCUGGUAGUCCGCACAGUAAACGAUGGAUGCCCGCUGUUGGUACCUGGUAUCAGCGGCUAAGCGAAAGCAUUAAGCAUCCCACCUGGGGAGUACGCCGGCAACGGUGAAACUCAAAGGAAUUGACGGGGGCCCGCACAAGCGGAGGAACAUGUGGUUUAAUUCGAUGAUACGCGAGGAACCUUACCCGGGCUUGAAUUGCAGAGGAAGGAUUUAGAGAUA